GAUGAACGCUGGCGGCGUGCCUAAUACAUGCAAGUCGAGCGAACAGACGAGGAGCUUGCUCCUUUGACGUUAGCGGCGGACGGGUGAGUAACACGUGGGUAACCUACCUAUAAGACUGGGAUAACUUCGGGAAACCGGAGCUAAUACCGGAUAACAUUUUGAACCGCAUGGUUCGAUAGUGAAAGAUGGCUUUGCUGUCACUUAUAGAUGGACCUGCGCCGUAUUAGCUAGUUGGUAAGGUAACGGCUUACCAAGGCAACGAUACGUAGCCGACCUGAGAGGGUGAUCGGCCACACUGGAACUGAGACACGGUCCAGACUCCUACGGGAGGCAGCAGUAGGGAAUCUUCCGCAAUGGGCGAAAGCCUGACGGAGCAACGCCGCGUGAGUGAUGAAGGUCUUCGGAUCGUAAAACUCUGUUAUUAGGGAAGAACAAACGUGUAAGUAACUGUGCACGUCUUGACGGUACCUAAUCAGAAAGCCACGGCUAACUACGUG
rnacentral:rRNA from 1 species